UUUAUACAGAUGCCUCACAACAAAAAUCUGUACUCUAUGGCAGUAAUCCUCAUCAAAAUUAGAUAACUCAAGCUCAAUGAAGUUAUACAGGCUUGAGAAAUUUCAACACUCAUUUCCCACUUACAAAGUGAUGGAUAAGGGCAUAUCAGAUUUGAAUGAGACCUUGGACAAUAUAUGAGAUACUCAACAAAAAUCUCUACUGAGUGCAGAAUCACUUAAAAGAAGUAUUCUGUUUCUUCAACCAAAAUCAGAAUGAUUUUAUUCUCUGACAUUUACCCUUUAGACA
rnacentral:lncRNA from 1 species